rnacentral:lncRNA from 1 species
CAGGAAGGGAUACUCCUACAUCGACAUGAAUGUGAACGAAAAGCUGCAGGAUCUGCAAAAUAUCAUCAUCCCCCAAAUAGAGAUGCUGAUUGAGGCCGCAGAAAAUAGCCCGCAUAAAGACCGCCUUCAUAGUUGGCUGCGGAGCCUCGAGGAAGCAGUUUAUGAAGCAGAGGUCGUGUUGGACCUGUACGACUAUUACUUUCUCAAAAAAAAAGUGAAGAAUAGUACAGGAGGAAUCAAGGUACGUCUGGAAUCUCUUCCUCCAAUCAAAUACUUAUCAAAAAAAUUUAGUAUAAAGCUGAAAAACAGCUUGGUUAGGCUGGAAAAGACUGCUACGAAAGCCAGGGAAUUUCGGCCAUUCUUGCCCGGAGGGAGUAGUAAUGUAAGGGGAUCUGAAACUGCCAAUGAAUCAGGUCGGAGGGUCACCACCUCGCUGCUCACACACAAAGUGUUCGGCCGAGACAAGCAGCGUGAUCAUAUCGUUAACCUUCUGCAUGAGACGGCGGAGCUUGAACCCGAGUCUAGCUUUGUUAAAAGCUAUUCUGUAGUAGCCAUCGUUGGUCUAGGAGGAGCUGGGAAGACAACUCUUGCACAGUAUGUUUGUGAAUAUGAAAGAGAAGCAGAAGUCAAGCAUUUCGAUGUCACUAUGUGGGUUCAUGUGUCCCAGAUAUUUGAUGUUAAAGAGUUGACAAGAGAGAUGGUGGAAUCGGCAUCCGGAGAGGAAUGCCCUCGCCUUGCUAAUCUCAACACCCUUCAAGGAAAAUUGGAAGGUUCCCUAAGAUCAAAGAAGUUUUUACUAGUAUUGGACGAUGUAUGGAGCGAGAAAGAGGUGGCCGAGCUGCAAUGGGAGCAGUUGCUCGCUCCUUUACGAGUGGGCAAUAGAGGAAGUAAGAUCUUAAUGACAACCCGCGAUCAAAGAAUAGCGGAGGCCUUACGCGCUAGAAACAUUCUAGACCUAAAGGAACUAGAAAAAAGUGACUUCUUGUCCUUGUUCACGUACUAUGCCUUUGAUGAUGCCAAAAUUGAUGAUAUCAAGCUAUACGAGGAAUUGGAAGAGAUCGUGAGGCAGAAUACACCGAAGCUGCAUGGCUCUCCCUUAGCGGCGAGAAUGGUUGGUAGCCAACUACGCAAAAGGCCAGAUGUGAACUUUUGGAAGAGGAUUUUGAAUGGAGACCUAUUGAAAGACACUAUGAAGUCUCUAUUGUGGAGUUAUCAAAACCUAGAUGCACCAUUACAAAGAUGCUUCUCAUACUGCAGUCUAUUUUCUAAAGGUCAAGGAAUCCGGCAGGACAAGUUAAUUCGUCUGUGGAUCGCGGAGGGCUUCAUCAAGACAGUGGAUGGGAGCAAGAGAAUUGAGGAUGUAGGCCGAGAGUACUUUGAUGAUUUGCUAUCCUGCUCUUUCUUUCAGCCAACAGAAUACGGUGGUCUCUACACUAUACAUGAUUUAUUGCAUGAUCUAGCAGAGAUGGUUUCUAAAGAUCGAUAUCUUAGAGUUGAAGGAAAUCCGACAGAAGCGGUAGUACCUCAAAAGAUUCGUCAUCUUUCCCUCCACGUCGAUACACCGAGUGAUCUCAUUGAGAAGAUACGCAAUUUAAAAAAUCUCCGAACGUUGAUAGUCUUUAGGAUGACUCGUCAUAGUUACAAUGAUGAUAUGCUCCAUAGCAUAUCUGUCAAACUGAAAAAACUGAGGGUGGUGGAUCUUAGCACAUAUAGACUAGAAAAAUUACCAGAAUCAAUUGGGGGCCUGAAGCAUUUGCGCUACCUUGAUCUUUCUGCGUCAUCAGUUGAAAUUUUGCCAAAAUCAAUUUCUACACUCUACCAUUUAGAGUUUUUGUAUAUAGAUAAAUGUACAUUUGUAGCAAAAGGACUAGCCAACUGGAUUAAUUUGCACCAUUUAUAUUUCUCUAAUAUGAUUUUGGAUGUAGCUGGGAUUGGGAGCUUGAAACAACUGGAGAAUCUAAAAAAUUUUCAGGGGUAUUCAAUACAUAUUAAUGGUCUUGAGAAUGUUAAAGAAAACGGGGAGGCCCCUGUGGAGAUUAAAGGUAUUGAGGAACUUUGUUUAGAAUGGAGUACCACCGAUAACAUUAGCAGAUCGUCAGAAGUGGAUGCACAAGUACUCGAGGGUCUUCGUCCGCCUCCUGAUCUUCAUCAUCUCAAAAUCGUGGGUUAUAAGGGUUGCCUAUUGCCAAGUUGGAUGGUAAGAGACCGAUACCUCUUACACAAUCUUAUAUCUCUUGAGCUUAUCAAAUGCCGACAGCUAAAGCAACUCCCAAUCCUUCCCCCAACAAUGAAAAAACUCAUUCUUGAUGCUUGCUCUUCCCUUUCAUUUGUCCCCAAAGAGGAUUUAACAAUUAUUAGGUCCACACAAGAUGUAAGAAUUUCCCAAAGUAGUGACUUUUAUGGAGGGCUUGGUUGCUACAAACAGAUCCCGUAUUGUAUCGAAAAUACGCUGGGAUUUACAGCAUGGGUAUGAUUCACAGGAAUUGCGCAAUUGGCUAGAAAAGACCAUGGACAUUGUCUACCAAAACCUGCAGGAGGAGGAGGAGGUGCAGCUAGUCCUGCCCCGUUCUCUUGAAAGUCUUGAUAUCGGCUCAUGUCCGCUCACCAACAGCACAUUGCGGGAAGGUUUGCGAGGUCUUACUUGUCUAAAGUUCCUGAAUCUUUUUAAUAUUGUUUCUCUUACAUCCCUUCCCUCGGCGGAUGUGUUGGGAUGUCUGACGGUGCUCGAAGAGCUACGUAUCAAACAAUGCUGGUUCCUAACCUCGCUGGGGAGUUUGCAAGCCCUCGGCUCAUUGUGGGAGCUCGUCAUAUCCUUUUGCCCCAACCUAUCUGCAGAAGGUGGCAGCACCUCUAUCCUGCCCUCAUCUCUAGGGUGUCUCGAGAUCGAGGCAUGUGAUUGGAAGCAUUUGGAUGAAUCGCUGCCUGAUCCGACUUCCUCAAUCAAUUCAGAGAGCUCGGACAUUAAUCCAUUCGCGGUAUCCCUUCAGCUGGGUCAUCUGGAAUCACUCCGGGAUUUGAGCAUCACCAACUGUCCAAAUAUUGGUUCGUUGCUCGGUUUGCAAGAGUUGAAUAACCUUAGAUUUCUAACUUUGAUGGGAUGUCCGAAACUCACCCAUGCAGAAACCAAGUUAGGGAGCCUCUUAAACCGGUUCAGCACUGAUGCUCCCUCGCUGCUCUAUGUGCUGCUCGCAGAAGAAGCCCUUGCCUCUCUCCGGAACUUGCGUAUUGAGGAGUUCAAAGAAGAAUCAUUCAGGUCGGAGGAAUAGCAAGUGUUUCAGCACCUCACCUCGCUCAAUUCCCUAGACUUUGAGAGUUGUAGCAGCAUCAAGUCCUUGCCUAACAACUUGGAAAGCCUAUCAUCCCUUGAAGCGUUGAGUAUUUCCGACUGCCCAAAUAUCUUGUCAUUGCCGGAUCUGCCGAGAUCACUUCUAUGGCUCGACUUGACACGCUGCAAUCCGAUGUUGAAGAGGCGAUGCCAAAAGCCUCAUGGCCAAGAUUGGUGUAAAAUAUCGCACAUCCGUUGGGUAUUCCUUGACGGAGUCGUCCUCUAGCAAUGGCUUGCUUGCCAAAAGUGGGAGGUAUGCUUUCCUUGGCCUGUGGUAUGCCCUCGUACACUUUUCCAGGCACUACUUUUAACAAUUGCACAUUUUAAAUUAGGUACAUGAAGUGAUGAAACUUGCAAUUUUUUUUGUCUUAAAUUAACUUUUGCACUAAUUGCUUUAUGAUAUACUUUUUUUAUUUUAUUGGAUAAGCUUUAAUCUAUCCCCGUGUGGUUUAACAUGUUUUCACUUAGCCAUCUUGUAGUUCAAAAUUUGCACUUUACUAUUCUGUGGUUAAUUUCUUAUUCACAACAAAAAUUUACCAUCAAAGAGGGCGAUAAAAGUAAAAUUCUUUUUUAAAAUCACGGAGUCACUCAAACAAAAAUAAAAACCACAAGUUCAUAGGUUGACAAGAUAAAAAAUUGCUGAACCAUAUGGAUAUAUAGUUGCAAAAUGAAAUGCGCUAAACGGCAAGGGGGUAUAUUUAAGUUCACCCUUUUCCUUUUGUUUCACUACCUCUCCGCCCAAUAUUAACAGUAUAUUAAUUAUUCUGAUGGAAUAUGCAACAUAUUUAUAUAUUGCGUUACCUGAUGGAUUAUUUUUUAAACCUUGAUGCAGACCUUGAUGCAGUGGUGCUAUUUUUUUUUAUGUUUUUUUAAAAAUUGAUAGACUAGGUGCCGAAGUGAAAAAUUUGGAGGUCAAGCAGCAUCUGCAUGUUUUUGCCUUUCUAGAAAAAUGUCUUUUUUUUUUUCUUUUGCAGAUUACAUUUUGAUGUAUAGUCCACUAGAUAGAUGAUUCUAAACAGCAUGCAUGAUGACUCCGAUACAUCAUAUUCAUUUGGCAUCAUUUUUUUCCCCCUUUUUUUUCAUCAUUUUAAUGAACGAAUUUUGUAAUUCUUGAAGUUUUGUCCACAUAAACAUCAUACAGUCUGUCUUCAGCGAAAAUCUACAGAGCAGUACAGUUUUCUUAAUCAAGCAUGUGUGACCCAUAAACUUGGCUUUCGAGAAGAAGCCAAUUCUUCUAACUCGAGCAUUACAAAGGUGUAGUGCUCUUUUGUUUCUCCCCAAAUUUCUUUCAACAUAAUAUAUAUUAUACGGCCUGCCGAUUUCUAAACUUUUAAUUAUGUAAUAUAUAUUAUGCUUGAGACUUUCUGUUUGCAUAUUGGGUGAGCAUUACAAAAUGAUUUAACUCAAGUUAUAAGGCCCUCAAACUCUCCCAUAUUGUUUAAUGUGGGGCUAUUCAGUUGUCGCAAGUUUUUUACUAUAAGACGUACGAAGAUAAUUAUCACAAAGAAGACAAACGAAACACCAUUUUCACUUUCUUUGAUCUAAAAGCUUCCACAAGCUUGAUGUUGGGCUGCCGAGAGUUUUAAUUCUAUUCUGCUCAGCAUUGACAGAUCCUGAACAAUAUGCAUGAUUGCUUCAAACAUUUUAUCUCUAUCACUCAUCUUUUACUUUUUCUUUUUCUUUUUUUGCUUUUUGUUUUUUAAAAGAACAAGUUUAGCCACAGUUGACAUCUUAAGUAGUUUCCAAUGGAUUGAAGAAGACGAACUAGCUGCAAAUUACUUGUUUGAUUCAGUUUUUGAACUUUCUUCGGCAAUCAUUUAUCGCAAAGCUCUAAACAUCUAAUUAACUUUGCAUUGUUAACUAAAGCUGUACCUCACUUCUUUUUCUUCGUUUUGGUUAGCUACAAGCAUGAAGGAACUAACCUGAACUUUAGGUCAUUUCGGAACACAAUUAUGCAAACUUUUAAAACUUUGAUUUUACUACUUUAUCCGUCAAUUUUAUUUGAUCUAUAUCCAGGAAAAUUGUUGCUUGCACCUGGUUGAUCCAUGGUCUGUACAUCAAUGAUGCAUAUAAUGCUUUUAAUCUAACUAUCCAAUCUUAGGUAGGAAUAAAAAAUGGAAUUUUUUUUUUUCGUUGGUAGAGAUAAAACUGUUGGAUCAGACAGAUGCAUGCGUGAAAGUAUUGCUCAUGGACGUGCAGAAGAAACAGAUGCAGGCGAUGAUUUCUCAGAGUCAUCAAGUGACUCGAAUGACAUUAUGACACGAAUUGAAGAGUUUUAGUUGUAAAAUUAAAAUUUUUCGAAGUUGGUUAGUUGUUUCCAUCAUCAAAGUUCAGGUUAGUUCUGAAAGUUUGCUUUAGGAAACUACGCAUAAAUCUGUCAGCACUUCUCCUUACAUCUACAUUCGUUUUGGCAUAUUUGAAUAUUAAAUUACUGUCCGUUUUCAGGAAAGCUGGUGCUGUACGCAGUGGUUAUCGAUCCUGUUUCAUUAGCUGAUUUGUUUGCUUUUUUUGCUCAGAGAAUAAGGUUUCCAGAUGUGGUGACAGAGUACAGGACUGUUAGUUUUACUAUACUUAGCAUCAAGUCAUCAACUAUCAAGUAUGAAAUCAAAAUGGCCUGCGAAUUGAUCAGAAGAUCCUUUCAGUUGGCUAUGAUCUGCUACUUGGAAUAAAAGAGAGAAGCAUGUAUCUGCUGCUAAGUUAUACAAAUCUCAACGGCUGUUUAUAUUUGAUUUGUUUAUAAUCUGAUUCUGCUCUGCCGCAGGAGUUCACAAAAAGCAUAAUAGAUGGUUCUGUCAUAAGAUAUGUAUCAUCUUGGGUUUAUGAUUCUUUUUUUUUUUUACUCCUUUCUUUUAUUUUGAAAAUAAUCCGGCAACAGUUGAAAACUUGUAAAAAAUUUCCAAUCAACUGCACCAGAAAAUUGGCUGCAAGAAUGUCGUCGGUUCGUGUUAUUUAUUGUGUAUUGUUUAUCAACAGCUUCUGUAUCUGUAUACUGUAAUGUGAUGAUAUUUAUCUAUAUAUAAUUGAACUGUGAUUUGGAUAUUUCGCAGUGUGAUGAUCAAGCCGCAUAAUUUCCUUCUAUUCCUGUUCAAGCAAACUGGACUAGUCUACAUCUAUGACGCUCAUCGUGUUGUUCUGCUUAACCUUGUCUCAAGAUCAUUAUCAAUUGAGCGCAUGCCUGCUCAUAAUUUUUUCUACUUCGAGAAGCAACAACAGAUAUUCGGCAAAUAGAAAAAAAAAAUCAGUUCUUGUCGGAUAGUUAGCACUAAUCAUUAAUUUCAAAAUCUCGAGCGGUUAGAAAUACACAACUAAUUCAUUUAAAGUGUAUAGACAUAGGAUCCACGGAUUUCAAUUGUGACUAAGCCCAAAUCAGUUUCACGCCACUUCUUGCAUGAUUCAGUCCAAUCUAUUCUCAUACUAUUUCGAAUAUGACUUAGCUCUGACCUUCCGUCAUAGAGUAGAAUGCUGGUCCAUUUAAGCCAAUAGUUCUUUCACUAGCGAAAAAACAAAUUCCAUCGGUAGUCCUCGGAGUUUCAACCAAGUUCUAUUUUGGUCCUCGAACUUCUUAAGUUUGAUGCUGAGGUCCUCAGAUUCUUAAAAGAGUUUCACAAUAGUCCUUUUAUGCUAGAGAAAAAAAUUAGAGCCUACACCCAUCGCAUCUAUACACCGAGGUACCAUGCAUCUAUCGACUACGUUUUCCAUCGCGUAUUUUAACUAUAUCAUCCGUCGAGUUAUAACUUUCUUCUGCAUAUAAAAAUUCGAUCUCUAAAAUAAAAGAUGUGAUAGAUUAUGGAAGAAAAACAGAUGUAUUAUAUUCUAGUGUACAAAUAUAACAGAUGAACUUGAUGCAAGCAAGAAAUUUUAAUCUCAAGUGAGGACUAAAUUAAGACAUUGUUGAAAGGUUAGCGACUAAAUUGAAAUAUUAUCAAAAGGCCACGGACUCGAAUGCUAAAUCAAAAGUUUGAGGACUCAAAUGAAAUUCACUCAAGCUUUAGGGACUAGCCGUACAAUUUAUUCGCCAAAAAAGAAAGGGUCAAAAUACCACCUAUCAGUGUAAUUCAAUGGAGGUCCCCGUCACGCAGGGAUGAAAAUGGAUAGGGUUGGUGGACAUCAACACAACGCAAACACCUCUAAUAAAAUAUUAUAUUAUUAAUAUAAUAAUAUAUAUUUAUUAUAUUCAAAAUAUUAGUUUUUUUGAAAUAUUGUAAUGCUUCUCGUGUAAAUAAAAGUUAAUAAAAUUUUUAUUGAUAGUUCAUAAAUAUAUUUUUUUAAAAAUUCCCCACCAUAAUUAACUUAUUUAUAUUGUCUAAAAUCUUUUUAUGCAUUCAUAAAAGAAUAAUCAAAAUACUUAUCAACUUAUAUUAUAUUAUAUAUAUAUAAAUUAAAAUAAAUAAAUUAAUAAUAUUUUUUAUUGAUUGUCUCUAAUGUAAGCGGUAAAGGACUUGGUGGUUGGUAUCCGAGUUCUUAAGUUCGGAUUCUAGUUGAUUCAUAUUUUCAGUUAAGUUUAUUUUUUUCGAAGAAAUAAACUAAUAAUCUUUUAAUAAGAUGCCUCAUGGGCUCGCAUUCAUAAAUAAACAUAUUUUUUAAUGCAAUGCGUCAUGGACCGGCAUGGAAUGCGCGUCAAUUGUAUGUUUGUAUUGGACACGAGGUCGAUAUAGACAUGCGAGAUUUAUAAAAAUGUUUGUGAUACAUAGACGGUAAGAAGAGUUCUUAAACUUCCUAGAUAAUACAGUGCCAUUGAUACACCGGGAAGGAUUGGAUUUUUACAAGCUGAUCAGUAUUACUGCAGGUCUUUUGUAAUAUUAUCUUACCACCUUUGUAACAUUAUUUUAUGCUUGAAAUGCGCAUGCAACACUUCUUUAUAUAAAAGAAUUAAAAUUAAAAUUUUAAAAUAAUUUUAUUUUAUGUAUUUUAUAAAUUUUGAUUGUGUGUAUGUACAAUAAAUAUAUUGUGUUUAAUCAUAACUAAUUUGGUAUAAAAAUUGGAAUAAUAGUAGUAGAUUUAGUUAAAUUAGGUUUAUUAUUGAAUUUAAGUAGAUUAAAAAUUUUAAAUUAUGUAAGUUGAAAUUUUUUAUUUGAUCGUAAUCAUCUAAUUUUGUAGAAAAAUAUGAAGAAUCAUAAAAGAUAAAUUAAGUUCAAUUGUAAAAUUUGAAUUCGCUUAAAAACUUAAAUCAAAUACAUUGAUAAUUUAAAGGCUAAAUUACAGAAAAUUCUUUCGGUCAAUACCUGCGUUUUUACUUCCUCCCAUGUCAUUUAAAAUCUACACUUUGCCAAAAAUAUUCACUUUGGCUCCCGGUAUCAAUGUUUUGUAAGUAUUUCUCUUAUAUUCUAUUAUUAUAUAUUUUUUUAUAUCCAAAAUAUUUUUAAAAAUAUUCAUCUCAGAUACGCCUCCUCCUUCCUCACCGACGUCCUCAGCCGCGCCGCCUCGCCCUCCUCCGCUGCCUCCCCUCGGCCAUCCCUUUGUCCAUGCCCACACACAUGCCCUCGGCCUCCUCCGUGGCUUCACCCUUGCCCUCACCCACCUCUCUGUCCACGUCCACCUCGAUCCCCUCCCUACAGUCGCCGAAAAUGGAGGGGCAGCGAGAGUGCUAGAGGAGCGGGACACCAAGUGGAGGAAACGAAAUCGGAGUUGGGGCAGAAGUAGGGGUGUAAAACGGGCCGGGCGGCACGUGGCCCACCCGGCCCGGCACGGCUGCGGGCCGGGCCGUGUCCCCUUUGAGACAGGCAAGCCGCAGACAAACUGCACGAGCCCAGGCCGGUUUAACCAUAGCCGGGGCCCCGCACUGUGGUCCACAGGUAUUAGUGGCUCGAGUUGAGUGCACUGUCUCUCCCAAGGUAGGUGUUAAAUUUUAUCGAGAGAUAGUUGCAGUGGUAUUGCACUGGUCGGCGGUUUGCAGGUAGGUUUGCCGAAAAAGUGUGUCAUAGGUAAGGGUUCUAGAACUAAGGACCACGUAUUUGGCCUGUUCCUUUUUAUCAAUGAACCAUAAAAAAGGAGAGCUCAAAGGAUUGGUGAGCUAGGUUGUCACUCUCAAAGUGUGGAGCUAGUGUUGUUAGACGGAGACGUCAGCUAGGAGCGUUUUGAAGUAGUCUUAUGAGCACCGGUAGGCGCUGGCUAAGGUGUUUAGGUAGGUCUCCCUUACCUUAAUAGUAAGUCGUUCAGGGAUCGUAACCACCUCAUGAUGCCCGAAUCCGUUGUAGUGUUAUUGGGAGCACUACAGGGUUGGGUCGUAGUUUUAGGCAAACUCCAUGUCGGAGUUUGAGGUGUAUUUUGUCAUGAUGAGUCUAAUGUAGAAUUAGAAUAGCUCAUGGGGAUGUCGAGUUCCGAUUAACUUUUCUACUUACUCGGAGAUGUUGCCAGGUUUGUGGGUUAGCACCAAGUUAAAUCUAGUGCUAUCAGCUGUACGUUAGCUUUACUGGGUAGGCCAGGGUGUUGUUCACUCUCACGAAGAGGUGCUUCUUUUUGUGAUCCAUGCUUGGAGGGGCGGUUGACUCGAGUGCGAAGCACAGAGUUAGCCCUUUUGUUGUUGUUGAGCUUUCUAUAGGAGGUAAUGCUCCUAAGAGUUUGUUGUUUACGCUUGCCGGUAGAUCCGGGGGUUUGGGAGAGUUUUAUGGGCUAAAAUCCAUCUCUCCGUUAGUAGCGUUGGUCGCCUUGAUUUAGGAGUUUAGCGUGAUAAAGCACGAGUUUUGGAUCCCCACAUUAUACCCGGCACGGCCCGGCCGUGCCGGGUGUAAAAGGCCCGGCUUGGCCCGACCUCUCACCGGGCCGGGCCGGGCACCGAUUUAGGCCCGGCCCGGCACCGCCCGGGCUUGAGGGAUGGUAGGCCGGGUCGUGCCGGGGACCCGGGCCUUCCGUGCCCGGCACGGCCCGGCCCGGCACGAGGCCCGGCCGAGGAAAAAAAUAAAAAAUUUUUACAUGUAUAUUAAAUUUUUUUAUAUUUGUUAUUUAAUAUAAAUAUAUUUGACUAUAAAACUGAUUUUUUAAAUUUUAAAUAUUUUUAUUAAUGUUUUUUAUUUAUAAUAUAUAAAAACUUAAGAAAAAAACUUUUUUUUUUUUCAACUCUUCCCAAAAACCAGGUUACCUGGUUUUAACGAAACCAGGUAACCUGGUUUUAGUGAGGAGGGUUCCAGACGAUCCGUCUGGAACCCUCCUCGAGAGGAACCCUCCUCCCGGUUCGGGAGGUGGGUUCCUCUCGUUUGGGGUCCCGGUUCCGUUGAAACGAAACCCGGACCCAAGGCCCGGCACGACCGGGCCGACCGUGCCGGGUUCGCCCGGCACGGCACGGCCCGGUGCCCGGAGAGGAGCCGGUCCGUGCCGGGUCCGGGCAAAGCCCGACACGGCACGGCCCGGCAGCCCGAAGUUUACACUCCGGGUCGUGCCGGGCUUCACGGACAGCCCGGGCCGGGCCGGGCCCACGAUGUCACCGGCACGGCCCGNAUUUUGCCAUCAGAGUGAACACUGUACUUUCUGUAAAUAUUUUUUAUUUUUUAAAGGGACAAAGUAUUUGUUUGUAAAUGGCAAGAAAAAAAAAUAAAAAAUCUGAUUUUGACCGAAAUUUUUUUUAUAAUUUAGCCUAAUUUAAAAUGUUAUUUUAUAAUGGUUAUUAUAUAUGCACUUUUAAAAAAAUUGAAGAUAUUUUUGAAAAAAAAAAUGACAUAUUUAAAAUUUUUGUCAGCUCUUUUAUGUAUAGUCUAUAUAUAUAUUAUUAUUAAAGUAUUAAUAAGCUUAUACGACUUUUUAGACGUCCUACGUACCUAAAUUAAUAAAAAAAAAAUUCCGCACUACAAUUAUCAAUGUAUUAAUAAUUAUAUAAACCUAAUGUUAUCAUCGCUCCAAAUUAGAAAAACAAAACCCAGCGGAUGCCACUAUCGAUGACCACUCACCUGGGUGGAAAUUUCCUUCAGGAGAGGCGUUUUUUUUAUAUUUUUAUUUUAAUUUUUUUAAACUCUCACUUGAUGUUGUCUUUCUCACCUUAGUCAAGAUUAGGAAGGUUCAGAACGAGAAGCCAGCGCAUGCCACUACCUGAUACCACUCAGCUGGGUGGAUAUUUUCCUUCACGACGGCGCGGUUUGUUGGAGCGCUUUUUCAACCUCUAUCCCCAGCUCACUCCAAAGAAAUCUCAAACUGUCGUCGUCGUCGUCGUUAUCAUCCGACUGGCGAAUCGAUGGCAGAAGCGGCGGCGAUCUUUGCGGGAUUCAAAUGGUUGGCUUCGCGCCCAUUCAUAAUCGACCUCCUCAAGAAGGGAUACUCCUACAUCGACAUGAAUGUAGAUGAAAAGCUGCAGGAUCUGCAAAACAUCGUCAUCCCCCAAAUAGAGAUGCUGAUUGAGGUCGCAGAAAAUAGCCCGCAUAAAGACCGCUUCCAUAGUUGGCUGCGGAGCCUCGAGGAAGCAGUUUACGAAGCAGAGGACGUGCUGGACCUGUACGACUAUUACUUUCUCGAAAAAAAAGUGAAGAGUAGUGCAGGAGGAAUCAAGGUACGUCUAGAAUCUCUUCCUCCAAUCAAAUACUUAUCAAAAAAAUUUAGUAUAAAGCUGAAAAACAGCUUGAUUAAGCUGGAGAAGACUGUUGCGAAAGCCAGAGAAUUUCGGCCAUUCUUGCCCGGAGGGAGUAGUAAUGUAAGGGCGUCCGAAACUGCCAACGAUUCAGGUCGGAGGGUCACAGGUCGGAGGGUCACCACCACCUCGCAACUCCCACACAAAGUGUUCGGCCGAGAUAAGCAGCGUGAUCAUAUCGUUGACCUCCUGCAUGAGACGGCGGGGCUCGAACCUGAAUCUAGCUCUGUUAAAUGCUAUUCUGUCGUAGCCAUCGUUGGUCUAGGAGGAGCUGGGAAGACGACUCUUGCACAAUAUGUCUGCGAUUAUGAAAGAGAAGCAGUAGUCAAGCAUUUCAAUGUCAUCAUGUGGGUUCAUGUAUCUAAGAGAUUGGAUGUCGAACAGUUGACAAAAAAGAUGGUGGAGUCGGCAUCUCGAGAGGAAUGCCCUCGCCUUGAUAAUCUCGACACCCUUCAAGUAAAAUUGGAAGGUUCCCUAAGAUCAAAAAAGUUUUUACUUGUAUUGGACGAUGUAUGGAGCGAGAAAGAGGUGGCCGAGUUGCAAUGGGAGCAGUUGCUCGCUCCUUUACGAGUGGGCAAUAGAGGAAGUAAGAUCUUAAUGACGACCCGCGAGCGGGGAGUAGCGGAGGCCUUACGCGCUAGAAACAUUCUAGACCUAAAGGAGCUAGAAAAAAGUGACUUCUUGUCCUUGUUCACGUACUAUGCUUUUGAUGAUGCCAAAAUUGAUGAUAUCAAGCUAUACGAGGAAUUGGAAGAGAUCGUGAGGCAGAACACACCGAAGCUGCAUGGCUCUCCCUUAGCGGCGAGAAUGGUUGGUAGCCAACUACGCAGAAGGCCGGAUGUGAACUUUUGGAAGAGGAUUUUGAGUGGAGACCUAUUGAAAGACACUAUGAAGUCUCUAUUGUGGAGUUAUCAAAACUUAGAUGCACCAUUACAAAGAUGCUUCUCAUAUUGCAGUCUAUUUUCUAAGGGUCAAGGAAUCCGGCGGGACAAGUUAAUUCGCCUGUGGAUCGCGGAGGGCUUCAUCAAGACAGUGGAUAAGAGCAAGAGAAUUGAGGAUGUAGGCCGAGAGUACUUUGAUGAUUUGCUAUCCAGCUCUUUCUUUCAACCAACAAAGGACGAUGAUCUCUACACUAUCCAUGAUCUAUUGCAUGAUCUAGCAGAGAUGGUUUCUAAAGAUCGAUAUCUUAGAGUUGAAGGAAAUCUGACAGAGGCAGUAGUACCCCAAGAGAUUCGUCAUCUUUCCCUCCGCAUCGAUACACCAAGUGAUCUUGUUGAGAAGAUAUGUAAUUUAAAAAAUCUACACACGUUGAUAAUCCUUACGAGGACUAAUGAUGAUUACAUUGAUGAUCUUCUCCACAACAUAUUUGUCAAACUAAAAAAACUAAGGGUGGUGGAUCUUGGGAAAUUCAACUUAACAGAACUACCAAAAUCAAUUGGGGACUUGAAGCAUCUGCGCUACCUUGAUCUUCAUAAGUCAUCAUUUGAAAUUUUGCCAAAAUCAGUUUCUACACUCUACCAUUUAGAGUUUUUGUCUAUGUGUGAAUGUACAUUAGGAGCAAAAAGACUAGCCAACUGGAUUAAUUUGCGGCAUUUAUAUAUCUUUCGCGUGAUUCUCAAUGUUGUUGGGAUUGGCUGCUUGAAACACCUGGAGAGCCUAAGAAAUUUUCAGGGGUAUUCAAUACAUAUUAAUGGCCUUGAGAAUGUUAAAGAAGAGGGGGAGGCCCCUGUGGAGAUAAAAGGUAUUGAGAAACUUUGUUUAGAAUGGAGUACCACCGAUAACAUUAGCAGGUCGUCGGACAUGGAUGCACAAGUACUUGAGGGUCUUCGUCCGCCUCCCCAUCUUCAGUAUCUCAAAAUCGUGGGCUAUCAGGGUUGCCUAUUGCCAAGUUGGAUGGUAGGAGACCGAUACCUCUUACACAAUCUUAUAUCUCUUAAGCUUAUCCGAUGCCGACAGCUAAAGCAACUCCCGAUCCUUUCCCUAACCACCCUGAAAAAGCUCGUGCUUUCUGCUUGCUCCUCCCUUCCAGUUGUCUCCAAAGAGGAUUUAGCAAUUAUUAGGUCCACACAAGACGUAAGAAUUUCCCAAGUAGUGACUUCUAUGGAGGGCUUGGUUGCUACGUACGGAUCCCGUAUUGUAUCGGAAAUGGGGUGGGAUUUACAGCAUGGGUAUGAUUCACAGAAAUUGCACAAUUGGUUAGAAAAGACCAUGGACAUUGUCUACCAAAACCCGCAGGAGGAGGAGGAGGUGCAGCUAGUACUGCCCCCUUCUCUUGAAAGUCUUGAUAUCAGCUCUUGUCCACUCACCGACAGCACAUUGCGGCAAGUUUUGCGAGGUCUUACUUCUCUAAAAUUCCUGGAGCUUUUUAAUAUUGUUUCACUUACAUCCCUUCCCUCGGCGGAUGUGUUGGGAUGUCUGACGGUGCUCAAAAAGCUACAUAUCAAACAAUGCUGGUUCCUAACCUCGCUGGGGGGUUUGCAAGCCCUCGGCUCAUUGCAGGAGCUCGUCAUAUCCUUUUGCCCCAGCCUAUCUGCCCAAGGUGGCAGCACCUCCAUCCUGCCCUCAUCUCUAAAGUAUCUCAAGAUCGAGGAAUGUUAUUGGAAGCAUUUGGAUGAUUCGCAGCCUGAUCCGACUUCCGCAAUCGAUUCAGAGGGCUCGGACAUCCCAUUCGCGGCAUCCCUUCAGCUGGGUCAUCUGAAAUCACUCUGGAAAUUGAGCAUCACCAACUGUCCAAAUAUUGGUUCGUUGCUCGGUUUGCAAGAGUUGAAUAACCUUGCAGAUCUAACUUUGAUGGGAUGUCUGAAACUCGCCAAUGCAGAAACCAAGUUAGGGAGUCCUGUUUUACGUUCUUUCGACACUGAUGCUCCCUUGCUGCUCGAUGUGCUGCUCGCAGAAGAAGCCCUCGCCUCUCUCCAGCUCUUGUCUAUUGAGGAGUUCAAAGAAGAAUCAUUCAGGUCGGAGGAAGAGCAAGUGCUUCAGCACCCCACCUCGCUCUAUUCCCUAGCCUUCGAGAGUUGCAGCAUCAAGUCCUUGCCUAACAGCUUGGAAGGCAUAUCAUCCCUUCAAGCGCUGGGUAUUUCCGACUGCCCAAAUAUCACGUCAUUGCCGGAUCUGCCGAAAUCACUCCGGUAUUUGAGCAUCACCAACUGUCCAAAUAUUGGUUCGUCGCUCGGUCUGCAAGAGUUGAAUGACCUUAAAGAUCUCACUUUGAUGGGAUGUCCGAAACUCGCCCGUGCAGAAACCAAGUUAGGGAGUCCUGUUUUACGUUCUUUCCGCACUGAUGCUCCCUCGCUGCUCCAUGUGCUGCUCGCAGGAGAAGCCCUCGCCUCUCUCCGGCGCUUGUGGAUUCACGAGUUCAAAAAAAAAUCAUUCAGCUCGGAUGAAGAGCAAGUGUUUCGCCACCUCACCUCGCUCGAUUCCCUAAGCUUCCAGAGUUGCAGCAUCAAGUCCUUGCCUAACAACUUGGAAAGCCUAUCAUCCCUUGAAGACCUGCAUAUUUCCGACUGCCCGAAUAUCAUGUCAUUGCCGGAUCUGCCGAGAUCACUUUUACGGCUCUACUUUACACGCUGCAAUCCGGUGUUGAAGAGGCGAUGCCAAAAGCCUCAUGGCCAAGAUUGGUGUAAAAUAUCGCACAUCCGUGAGGUAUUCCUCAAUGGAGUCGCCCUCUAGGAUUGUCUUGCUUUGCCAAAAUUCGGAGGUAUGCUUUCCUUGGCUUGUGAUAUGCCCUCGUACACUUUUCCAGGCACUACUUUUAACAAUUUCACAUUUUAAAUUAGGUACAUGAGACUUGAAAUUUUUUUUUAAAAUUAACUUUUGUAUCAAUUGCUUUAUGAUUUUUUUUUUAUUGGAUAAGAUUUAAUCUACCCCCAUGUGGUUUAGCAUGUUUUCACUUAGCUGUCUUGUAUUUCAAAAUUUGCACUUUACUAUUCUGUAGUUAAUUUUUGAUUCACCAAAAAAAAUUUACCGUCAAAGAGAGCAACAAAAGUGAUUUUUUUUUUUUUUUUGAAAACAACAGAGUCAAUGAAAUAAAAAUAAAAACUGCAUGUUCAUAGGAUGGCAAAGUGAAAAAGUGCUGAACCUCAUGGAUAAUUAAGUGUAAUUUUUUAAACCACAUGGAAAAGCAAAAUAAAAUGCGCUAAAUCACAAUGGGGUAUAUUUAAGCUUAUUCUUUUUUUUUUUUAUUUUCACUACCUCUCCCCCCAAUAUUAAAAGUAUACCGGUUAUUAAUUCUGAUGGAAUAUUAUCCAUGAGGUCUAUAUAUUAUGUUAUUUUUUGGCAGAUUACAUUUUGAUGUACAAUCCACUGGUUAAAUGAUUCUAAACAACAUGCAUGACGGCUCCAACACAUCAUAUUCAUUUGGCAUCAUUUUUUUUUUUCAGCAUUUUAAUGAACGAUGUUAGUAGUUCUUGAAGUUUUGUCCAUAUAAACAUCAUACACUCUGUCUUCAGCGAAAAUCUACGGAACAGUACAAUUCUCUUAAUCAAGCAUAUGUGACCCAUAAACUUGGAUUUCGAGAAGGAACGAAUUCUUGUAACUCGAGCAUUACAUAUGUGUAGUGCUCUUUUGUUUCUGCCUAAAUUUCUUUCAACAUAAUAUAUACCAUACCACCAGUGGAUUUCUAAACUUUUAUUAUGUAAUAUAUAUUAUGCUUGAGACUUUCUGUUUGCAUAGUUGGGUAACGAUAUGAUCCGUCACAUUAAUAUUAGAGACUUCUCGGACCAGCCACUAAUUUAAAAUGAUUUAACUUAAGUUGUUAGAACUAAUGUGAUAGUCAUAUAUAAGGCCUUCAAACUCUCCCAUAUUGUUUAAUGCGGGGCUAUUUGGUGACUACACAAUUCUCGAAAACUUUGAUUUUCACACUCAACUUUUCAAUUUACCUCAUUUAAGCCAUUUGAUGGUUCUUCUAGUAUAAAAUUUAGAUUUUUAACAUGAGUUUUAUGAAAUAUACAAAUAAAACUCUUAAAAACAUAUGAUACAUCUAAAUCUGAAAUAUAAAAGUCGUCAAAUGAUUCAAAUCAAAAUUUUUAGAGGUUAGAUAGUUAGAUCAAAAUAGAUUAUAGAGCUAUCAAUAUUUUGAAAGCACACGGGAUACGAAAUACGAUAUGACUCGAAAUGUGGUGACAUGACAGGUUCGAGAAAAUUAGGACACAAACACAACAUAAACACAUCUAAUAAAAUAUUAUAUUAUUAAUAUAAUAAUAUAUACUUAUUAUAUUCAAAAUAUUAAUUUUAUUUAAAUAUUGUAAUAUUUCUCAUGCAAAUAAAAGUUAAUAAAAUUCUCAUUGAUAGUUCAUGUUUUUUUUUAAAAGAAAAUUCUCCACCAUAAUUAACUUAUUUAUAUUGUCUAAAAUUUUUUUUAUGCAUUCAUUAAAAAAAAAUCAAAAUAUUUAUCAUCUUAUUUUUUUGGGAAAACUUCAAAUACUAUUCCCGUAGUUUCGCACUUUUUCACUUUAGUACCCUGUGGUUUAAAGUGUAUCAAUUUAGUGUUCAAUGGUUUCAUUUUUUUCUUUUAUUAUCAAUUUCACUAAUUUUUCAAUGAUAAAGUUAAAACUAAAAGGUACUAAAGUGAAUAUUCGAUAAAUCUAGGUGGGUAUCUCGAGAUUUUUGUAUAUAAUUUAACGAAAUAUUAUAGAAAAAGCUGACAAAAAGAGAAAAAUGAAACCACGGGGCAAGUAGCAAAAGGCUUGGUGGUUGGUACUCGAGGUCUCAACUUCGAAUCUUAGUUGAUUCACAUUUCCAACUAAGUUUAUUUCUAAAAAAAAACAAACGAAGUGGAUAGGAUAAUAAAAUGCGUCAUGGACUCGCAUACGUAAAUAAACAUAUUUUUUAAUGGAAUGCAUCUUGGACCCGCAUAGAUCGUGCGUCAAUAGUAUGUCUGCAUCGGACACGAGGUCGAUAGGGACAUACGAGACUUAUAAAAAUGUCUGUGAUACAUAGACGGUAAAAAGAGUUUUUAAGCUUCUUAGAUAAUACAACGCCGUUGAUACACUGGGAAGGAUUGGAUUUUUACAAGCUGAUCAUUAUUACUGCAGGUCUUUUGUAAUAUUAUCUUACCACCUUUGUAACAUUAUCUUACCGACUGUCCCUUGCGCAAAUGACAAAGGGCUUGGUGGUUGGUAUCCGAGGUCCCAAAUUUGAAUCCUAUUUGAUUUACAUUUUCAACUAAGGGCGUGUUUGGUUCACUUCUUUUUCACCCUGAAAUCAGGAUCGGAAUGGGCGAAUCCAUUUGUAGAUGUUUGGAACGCGGGAGUUCCAUUCUGAUUCCAAUUUUCAAGUGGAAUGAGAAUCUCCAAAUCACCUCUUUUUCCAAUCCAGCCUCUUAGGCCGAUUGGAAGUUGAAUCCAAACGGAAUAAAUAUUUAUUCGUAUUAAAUUUAUUUUUUAAAUUUUUUUAAUUAAAAUAUGAGUUUAAAUUUUAAAUUUUAAAUUUUAAUUUGCACUUGAAUUAAAAAUUAAAAUUUAAUCAAGUAUUUCGAAUAUAACUUAUGAAUUUGAAUUUGAAUUUAUAUAAAGUUUUAUUCAAAUUUUAUUUAAAACUUAAAUUAAAUUUAUGGAUUCAAAUUAUAAUUUAAAUUAUAAUUUUAAGUUUGAAUUUGAAUAAAUCAAAAUUUAGUUUUAUAUUUUGAAUUAUCCACUCAAGUUCAAAGUUCAAUUUUUUUUAAAAAAAAUAGAUAUAAAAUUUUGACAUUAUUUUAAAAUUUUGAUGUAAAUUUUUAAUAUUUAAUUUUCAAUUUGAAUUUAAAUUAAUAUAUUAUAAAGAUAAAGUUAGUAUAUUAAUUUGAUUACGUUUUUUAUAUCUAUCUAAGCCAAACACCGACAAUGGGAAUGAUUUAUUCCGAUUCCGAUUCAGGUGAUGAACCAAACAAAAUUAGAUAAUGAGUCAUUCCGAUUCCGAUUCCGAUUCCAACUUAUUUCGAUUUCGAUUCUGAUUCCGAUUCCGACUACGAACCAAACAAGCCCUACAGUCUUUUAUGCUAAUCACAUUUUAUUGACCCAUGUUUAUAUGAUUUUGCAUCAAUACAUUUUACUGGCCCACAUUACAAUCUCCUAACACAUUGCCAACCAUAUACUGACCGUCCCUAAAGCAAGUGGCAAAGGGCUUCAUAGUUGAUACUCGAGACCCAAGUUCGAAUCCUAGUUGAUUCACAUUUUCAGCUAAGUUUAUUUCUAAAUGAAAUAAACAAAACAGAUAGCGUGUUAUCUAUCUCUCAAAAAAAAAAAAAAAAAACAUUGCCGACCAUCUACAUUACCGAUUCUGCUUCCACGGGAAUCCAAGCUAAAGUCACUAAAAUGAGUCAUUUCCUCCUUUCUUUUUCUUUUUCUUUUUUUUUUUUUUUUUUUUUUUUUUUUUUUGCUCUUACUCUGUUGUUGUUGGAUUUUUUUCCUUUCUUAAUUUCUUUUAAUGGUUGUGGACUGUAAAUAGGAUGCCGGAAGUUUCUUUCCUUUGGUCUUUUGAUAUUUGUACGAAUUUGAAAUUUUCAUAUAUGUUCUGCUGAACGGAUAGAAUUUUACAAAUUAUGUAUGAAAUUUUGAAUUUUGUAGUAACUUCUAUGCAACGAAAAAGUUUCAUAAAAUAAAAAUCAAGUUUUAUAAAAAAAAAUACUUUUACAAAUUAAAUUUUUUUAAAAGUAUUAAUAUAGAAUUAAGAUAGAAUAUUUUUUUAAAAAAAAAUAUAUAUGCAUCAAUUACAUUUUGAGCAUGCCUAUCUCAAAUUGCAAUGCAACUAUAGUGCAAGAAAAUCUUAUAAAGUCUAAUUUGAAAAUUAUGUUGUUANAUAUAUUUUUAUAUUUAACAAGUUCAAGCCCCGCAAUGCUCCUAUCAUUAUUAAAUUUCUCCUAUUUAAUUUAAGUCCACGUUUUUGCCCCUAUCAAAAUGUCUCGAGUCCAGACAUGAGUAGGGGUGUCAUCGAGCCGAACACGCGCGAGCUGGGGCAGGCUCGUUAAAGUAUCGAACCGAAAAAUUCAGCUCGUGUUCGGUUCAUUAUUAAACGAGCCAAAUACGAGCUAGCUCACGAGCUGGCCAACGAACAAAAGUUAAAUGGAUUAGAUUGGAUAUAUAUAAAAAAUAAAUUUAUAAAUUCUUACUCAUUAGACUUUGAUCUAAUGGUUGAAAGUUUACAUACAAAUGAAUCAUUUUAUAAUUGAGCUCAGCUUUAUAUAUAUUUUUUUGCUAAAAAUCAAAUAAUAAAAAAAUAUAUAUUAUAUAUAUAAUUAUUUAGUUAUAUAUAUAAAUAUAUAUAAAUAUAAAUUAAAUAAAUUAUAUAAAUAUAAAAUAUAUGUAUUCGAGCUGUUAUCGAGCCGAACACGAGCGAGCUAACUCCAGCUUGUAUUCAGCUUAUAUUUUAUUAUACGAGUUGGAAAAUUCAGCUCGUGUUCGGUUCGUUUACUAAACUGAGUAAUUCGGUCUCGAGCUCAUUUCAAGCCGAACAUGAACUAUCUCGCAAACGACGAGUUGGAUUGCCACCCCUAGACCAGAGUAGCUUGCUGCCCUUGAUGGUCCAUCAUGGUCCGGGUCCAUAUAAUAACUUUCCUAGCUAUGAACAUUGUGGUCGGGUUUGGAUGUCCAAACAAAUUACCCGAGAAUUGUUUUUAUAUGAUUAUAAGUAAGGAUUUUAAUUGAUGCUCCUUCAAAGAUCUUACUACCCAUAGGUGCAAUAUAUUAUUUACAUAUUUAUCACACUUUUUAUACCACUCAAAUAUUUAGAUUUUUUAAAUAAAUUAUAGAAAUAUGUAGAACAAGACAAACAUGACUUCUUUUUUGAGAAAUAGGUAGCAAGCUACCUGCUUCAUUCAUUAGGUAAAAUGAACUGGGCAUACAAGUUGGAAGCAGCUUGGGCCUCCGAGAGGUCGGCAAAACUCAAAAUUAAAUUAAAAGCAAAAGAAAGAGGGAGGGAGAUCAAAGUCCCAACGGGGAGUGGAGCAGGGGGGGAGGUACAAGAGGAGCGUCAGAGCAAUGUGGUCCAGUCGUCGAUUAGUUGUUUGAGACGUUCUAAAGAUCCAGCAACAUUGGGCGACUUUCCGUUGAAGACGUAGUUGUUUCUGUCCGUCCAAAUUACCCACCAGAUCGCAGCCAGGACAAUCAGCCGAUGUUUUCUCGACGAUUCGACGGGGAUUUCUGUAGUUUCGGCCCAGAGUCCUGUAGUGUCGGCUGAGCUGGCGUUGUUUGCGUCCGGUCCUCCCGUAUUGAGGAGGAGAAAUCGAACAUAAACACAAUCGUUGAAGAGGUGGUCACAGCUUUCCGUGAGGACUGCGCAGAAGGCACAGUUCGGGUCUACAUGCAUGCCUCUGAUGAGCAAUCUGUCGGCAGUGGAUAAUCUUUUCCGAAGGAGUAGCCAAAUGAAGAUUUUAAUUUUAACGGGGAUUUUUAGCUUCCAGAUGUGCUGAUUCGUCGGGGCAUGCAACCCAGCGUCCGUGAUGGUCUGGUAAAGGGAUUUAACCGUGAAUAAUUGAUUAGAGGUCCAUUGCCAUUUGACCGAGUCGGUACUGGCGCAUGGUCGGAGGUCUCGGAGCAAGUCUUUAAGCAGCGACAGCUGUCUGCGUCUUUCAGUAGAGUGAGCGGUCGUGAAGCCACGACAGAUAAAGCGCCAUCUCCAGCCGCUCUAGUUCCAACAUUGGGAGAUCCGGGCUUCCUUAUUGCAGAUGUUCGAGAAGAUAAUCGGGAAUAGGGUACGAAGAGGGGCUUCUCCAAUCCAGAUGUCGGACCACAUCCUGAUAUUUUUUCCGUCUCCGAGCUCGUAGGUUACUCCACAUGAGAAGAUAUCUCGACAAUAAAGCACGCUUUUCCACCACUGCGAAUAGGGAACGAAGGCUCUACCCUCCAGCAAUGGCUUUCGUCUGACGUAGUAGAGGGAUCUAAGCAAUUUACACCAAAGGAGGUCUGGGUUGGUAAAGUAACGCCACCACCAUUUGGUUAAGAUUGCCAGAUUCAUAGAGUUUAGUUCUAAGAUUCCAAGUCCGCCUUCUCGUUUACUUUUGCAUACUGUAUUCCAGUUGACGAGACAAGCACCACCAGUGAUUUUGGAGCACCCCUUCCAGAAGAAGGCUCUUUUGAGGCCCUCUAAUCGAUUUAUCACCUACUUUGGCGCCCUAAAGAUGGAAAAGUAGAAUAGUGGCAGGUUGGUGAGAACCGAGUUGACGAGCGUGAGUCUUCCCCCUAGCGAUAGUAGUUUGGCUUUCCAGCCUUCUAUUCUCGCCUCAACACGAUUGAUGACCACAGCCCAGUCUUCCUUGCGAAGCUGUUUAUUGUGAAGCGGUAGGCCCAGGUAGCGAAGCGGUAGGCGUCCCACUUGGCAUCCCAAAAUGUUAGCAAGUCUAGUGGCCUUACGAUGGUUGGGUCCCAAAUAGUACAGUUCCGAUUUCUCCUUAUUGAUGCUGAGGCCAGAGGCCCAUUCGAAUAUGUUCCAGAGGAACAGCAGGUUGUGCAUAAAACGUUUCCUUGGUUCACAAAAGAAGAUAGUGUCGUCGGCAUAUUGUAAGAGCACCGUUUGGCAGUCAUCAGAUGGUCCGAUGCCUUGUAGCUGAUUGUUUCUCCUCGCAGUUUCAGUUAGUCUGGCCAGACAGUCGGCGACCAAUAAGAAUAGGUACGGGGAUAGGGGGUCCCCUUGCCGGAGCCCCUUCAUAGGUUUCAGCCAUUGGGUUGGGACAUCGUUUACUAGAAUGGCUACUUUAGCAUUGCAAAUACAUUGCUCGAUCCAUCCUCACCAUUUGUCGCUGAAGCCUAGCCAGUGUAGGAUACGUUUAAGGAAGGACCAUCUGACGUUGUCGAAAGCUUUCUCAAAGUCAACCAUGAUGCUUGUGCAUUUCUUGCCAGAUUUAGAGCACCAGUUUACUAAUUCGCUUGCAGUAACGAACGAGUCUGUCAGUAGUCGGUCUUUAAGGAAAGCCGAUUGCGUUGAGGAGAUAAUGGACGGUAGUUUGAGUGCUAAUCUGUUGGCCAAGACCUUAGAGAUAAUUUUCUGAAUUCCGUUGAUGACACACACAAAAUGCUUAUAAAUAACAAUCCACCUCUCCUCAAGAAAAAAUAAAAAAUAAAAAAUUAUAUAGUAUAACUCAAGUAUUAAUAAUUGAAAAGUGCAUAAAAGACCAAUAGGUUGCGACAGUUCAAUUAAAACAAAAAACAGAAACUUCAAUUUUAAUUGUUGAUUAAUUGAUUUCGACGGUUCCUAUAAAUCAACAACCGUAGAAACCACGCCAUGUACAUAUGCAAUGCUUGAUAAGUAAAUGUCACACCCUCAAUUAUUUUUUUAUAUUAUUCCUGUACACGUUGGUUGUGGGCUUAUCCCCUUCGAUAAUGCUCCUCUUUUUUUUUUUCUUUUUUUUUUUUUCUUUUUUGUCAUACCCUCAAUUAUUUUGAUCUUCUCUUUUGCAAUCGAGGAGUGGUUGUAGUGCUUCUUUUGGGGACCACUAUUGUUGCUGGACAUUUUCUUCCCACCGCUCAUUUCAAUUUCUGAUGAUGUUUCUGGUCCCUUAUUCGAGAUAGCUAUAUUUUAACAACAAGCAAUAAUGAUAAUGAUUAGAAUACGAUGUCUCAUAAAAUUCAAGUUCAGUUACAAAUUAAUGGAAAAAUCUGCAAGACCUGAUAUAGAUAGAUGCAUGUACCUUCAAUCCACUCCUGUUCACCCUGAAAGAAUUACAUAAUAAGUAUAUAAUUGUAGAUAUUAUAUAGAGCUAGGCUACUAUACUAUCGGUAGCACAGAGCGCUCCGUGCUACCGAGUUGUUUUCGAUGAUGUGGCUUCCAAAUCGACGAUCGGCUCCGUUAAAGUUGAUCUACACUAUUGAAAGUAUUUAGAAACUAAAUUUCAUAAUUUUUCGAUAUCAUUUACCUAUCAAACAAGUAGUCUAAAAUUGAACGGCUGAAAAUAAAAAUCUCAUAAAAAAUGAUGAUAAAAGAUUUAAAUUCAAGAUCAGAUAUACUGAUCUUAUUCUAAAUAGUGAAAAGAAUUUUCUAUAAAAUUUUCAUCGCAUUUGGAUUGUUUUACACCGUUAAACUCACAAACACACCACAUCGGCCAUUAAAAUUGUCAAUUUUGAGAUCUUUUGAUCACUAGUCAAAUGAUGUCGAAAAAAUUUGAAAUUUAGUUUCCAAAUACUUUCAAUAGUGUAGAUCAAGUCUAACGGAGCCGAUCGUCGAUUUGGAAGCCGCAUCAUCGAAAACAACUUGGUAGCACGGAACGCUCCGUGCUACCGAUAGCAUAGUAGUCGGACUCAUAUAUAUAUAUAUAUAUAUAUAAUAUCUGAGUGAGACUACUAUACUUCUGCAAAUAAGGAGCCUUUUGUGUUUUCAGAUCGUUUUUGAUGUUGUGACUUUCGAAUUGUCGAUCGGUUCCGUUAAACUUGAUCUAGCGUACUUAAAGUACUUAGAAAAAAAAUUUUGUAAUUUUUUUAUAUCAUUUGCCUAGUGAACUAAGAUGCUCAAAAUUAAAGGCUAAAAAUAAAAAUCUUACAAAAUGUAAAAAUAUAACAUUAAAAUUUUAGAUCAAAAAUAUUGAUUUUGUUUUAUAUAGUAUAUAUAAUAAAGAAUUUUCUAUCAAAAUUUCACGUGAUUUGAAUAUUUCCACACCGUUAAACAUGCAAACGGCUCACCACUGCCAUUAAAAUUUCUGCUUCAAAGAUAUUUCCUUUUUUAUUACGUUUCUUUCACAACACUUACUAUACAACACUUACUAGCUAGUUAGUUAAGCAAUUUAGAAAAUAAUUUUUGCAAAGUCAAAAUAAUUCAUUUUCAUGGGAACAUCUGUUAGCCCUCCAUUUAAUUAAAUUUGUGAUUUUUCAAAUACAAAUACACAGUAUACGUCGUAGAGAAGUGUAUGUUACCUCUAGCAAAUCUAGAUCUUGUUAAAAUUAUAUGCUAUAUACCUUGAUAUUCAAUUGAUUACAUAUUUUAUUUACUGUACAAAUCUCUAUCAUAUAUAUGUGCCGAUGAUUGUGUACCAUGUAUAGAAUUGAUUUUGUUCCAUCUUUUCUAUUUUUUGUCUUUUUCUCUUGUUGUCAUGUGUACAUGUUCUAAUAAAGAGACUUUUAAUUUCAAUAUUGGGACUUGGUGGAUUAAUUACGGGUCCUCCAUGGUUAGGCUGAGCCAUUCUUAAGGUGAAUUGUACUCAAAUGGGACUGAACCCGAUAGCUCAGCCGAAAAGCAAUAGAAUCCCCCCUCAUUUUUAUUUCUGAAUGAAAUAAACGAAACGGAUAGCUUAAUUGUUAUCUAUAUCUCUCUUGAAAUGCGCAUGCAACACUUCUUUAUAUAAAAGAAUUAAAAUUUUAAAAUAAUUUUAUUUAUGUAUUUUAUAAAAUUUGAUUGUGUGUAUGUGCAAUAAAUAUAUUUUGUUUAANNNNNNNNNNNNNNNNNNNNNCUCUCAAAAAAAAAAAAAAAAAAAAAAAAAAAAAGAAAAAAGAAGGGAAAUGCGCAUGCAACACUUCUUUAUAUAACAGAAUUAAAAUUUCAAAAUAAUUUUAUUUAUGUAUUUUAUAAAAUUUGAUUGUGUGUAUGUACAAUAAAUAUAUUUUGUUUAAUCAUAAUUAUCUAAUUUGGUAUAAAAAUUGUAAUAAUAAUAGUAGAUUUAGUUAAAUUAGGUUUAUUAUUAAAUUUAAGUAGAUUAAAAAUUUUAAAUUAUAUAAAUUGAAAUUUUUAUUUGAUCGUAAUCGUCUAAUUUUGUAGAAAAAUAUGAAGAAUCAUAAAAGAUAAGUUAAGCUCGAUUUUAAAAUUUGAAUUCGCUUAAAAACUUAAAUCAAAUACAUUGAUAAUUUAAAGGCUAAAUUACAGAAAAUCUUUUCCGUCAAUACCUGCUUUUUCACUUCCUCUCAUGUCAUUUAAAAACCUACACUUUACCCAAAAUUGUUCACUUUGGUUCCCGCUAUCAAUGUUCCGUAAGUAUUCCGUUUAUAUUCUAUUAUUAUAUAUAUUUUUUAUACCCAAAAUAUCAUUAAAAACAUUCAUCUCAGAUGCGCCUCCUCUUUCCUCACCGACGUUCUCAGCCGCGCCGCCUCGCCCUCCUCCGCUGCCUCCCCCUCGCCUAUCCCUCUGCCACACACACAUCCUCGCCCUCCUCCGCGGCCUCACCCUUACCUUCGCCCACCUUUCCGUCCACGUCCACCUCGAUCUUCUUCUUACAAUCGCCAAAAAUGAAGGGGCGACGAGAGUGCUGGAGGAGCAGGUGAGCAAGUGGAGAAAAUGAAAUCGGAGUUGAGGUCGAAGGAGGCACGCAGGAUAGAGGAGGAAAGCCUGCACACGACAGCGUAAGCAGGAUUGGGGAGAAGAUCGAAGAGAGUGAGAAGCAAUUUAAUUAUUUUGUCACCAGACUGAACACUGUAUCCUCUGUAAAUAUUUUUUAUUUUUUAAGAAGACAAAAUGUAUGUUUGUAAAUGACAACAAAAAGAAGUAAAAAAUUAGAUUUUGACAGAAUUUUUUUUUUUUUAUAAUUUAGCCUAAUUUAAAAUGUUAUAAAAUAAUGGUUAUUAUAACCGCACUUUGAAAAAAAUAGAAGAUAUUUUUGAAAAAAAAAGGACAAAUUUUAAAUUUUUGUCAGCUCUUUUAUGUAUAGUCUAUAUUAUAUAUUAGGGAAAACUUCAAAAACCCCCCCCUGUGAUUAUGUAGUUUCUCACUCUGCCUCCCUGUGGUUUAAAAUGUAUCAAAUUGCCCCCCUGUGGUUUUAUUUUUAUCUUUUGGGUAGCUUUUUCAUUAAUAUUUCAUUAAAUUAUAUACAAAAAACUUCAUAUACCCAUCUAGAUUUAUCAAAUAUUCACUUUAGUACUCUUUAAUUUUAACUUUAUCAUUGAUUUAAGAAAAAAAUAAUAAUAAAAUUUAUAAGAAAAAGAGAAAAACGAAACCACAGGAGGGCAAAUUGAUACAUUUUAAACCACAGGGGGUAAAGUGAGAAACUACGAAACCACAGGGGAGGUUUUUUAAGUUUUUCCUAUAUAUUAUUAUUAAAGUAGUAAUAAGCUUAUACGACGUUUUAGACUUCAUACAUACCUAAAUUAAUUAAAAAAAAAUUCUGCACUACAAUUAUCAAUGUGUUAAUAAUUAUAUAAACCUCUAGGGCGUGUUUGGUUCGCUUCUUUUUCACUCUGGAAUCGGAAUCGGAAUCGGAAUGGAUAAAUCCGUUUGUGGGUGUUUGGUACACGGGAGUUCCAUUCCGAUUACGAUUCCCGAGUGGAAUGGGAAUCCCCCAAUCACCUUUUUUUCAAUCCGGCCUAGGAAGCCGGAUUGAAAGUUGAAUCCGGACGGAAUGGAUAUUUAUUCGGAUUAAAUUUAUUUUUUCAAUUUUUUUAAUUAAAAUAUGAGUUAAAAUUUUAAAAUUAAAUAUAUAAUUUUAAAUUUUAAUUUAAACUUAAAUUAAAAAUUAAAAUUUAAUCAAGUAUUUCGAAUCUAACUUAUGAAUUUGAAUUUAAAUUAAAUUUUAAUUUAUAUAAAAUGUUAUUCAAAUUUUAUUUCAAACUUAAAUUAAAUUUAUGUAUUCAAAUUAAAAUUUAAAUUGUAAUUUUAAAUUUGAAUUUGAAUAAAUCAAAAUUUAGUUUCAUAUUUUAAAUUAUCCACUCAACUUCAAAGUUUAAUUUUUUUAAAAAAAAUAGAUUUAAAAUUUUGACAUUAUUUCAAAAUUUUGAUGUAAAUUUUUAAUAUUUAAUUUUUAAUUUGAAUUUAAAUUAAUAUAUUAUAAAGAUAAUGUUAGUAUAUUAAUUUGAUUACAUUUUUUAUAUCUACCUGAACCAAACACCGACAAUGGGAAUGAUUUAUUCCGAUUCCGAUUCAGAUGAUGAACCAAACAAAAUUAGGUAAUGAGUCAUUCUGAUUCCGAUUCCAGCUUAUUUUGAUUCCGAUUCCUAUUUCGAUUCCGACUUCGAACCAAACGUGCCCCUAAUGUUGUCAUCGCUCCAAAUCUAUCUAUUCUUUCUUCUACACUAAAUGAGGGUUUGGAGAGUACAUAGGGUGACACGUGUUCCCUUCCCAAACCGUCUCUCUCCCUCUCUCUCUCUCUCUCUCUAUAUAUAUAUAUAGUUUUAAAUUUUGAUAUCAAAAUUUAAAAUUUUGAUACUUUAAAAUUUUAAAGUUUUAAAUUUUAUAUUUUAAAUUUUAAAUUUCAAUUUUAACUUAUAAUAUUUAUUUCCAAUUUUGUAACUUCAAAAUUUUAAAAUUUUAAAUCUCCAAACUCUAUAAAUUAAUUAAUUAAUUUUAUUAAUAAUACGCGUAAUAAAUUGCGUAAUAAAUCGCGUAAUAAAAUUUAACAUGAUAGAUUUAAUUUAAAUCACGUAAAAUAUAGUUGUAUAAAAAAAACAUAAUUUAAAUUUCUUCAAAAUUUAAAAUUUUAAAUCUCUAAACUCUAUGAAAUUAAUUAAUUAAUUUUAUUAAUAAUACGCGUAAUAAAUCGCAUAAUAAAAUUUAACAUGACAUAUUUAAUUUAAAUCACGUAAAAUAUCUUUGUAUAAAAAAAUACAUAAUUUAAAUUUCAAGUGAAAAAUUUUAAAAAUAUAGUGUACAUGUGUGUAUAUAUAUAAUUAAUUUUAUUAAGCAAUUUCUUCUACAAAUUUAUUUUUCUUCUAUCUAUUGAUUUUUUUUAAAAUUAUUUUGAUAGAUUUAUCUCAAAUCCUUCUUAUAUAAAUCUUUAUAAAAUAAAGUGAUGUAUAAAUUUAUUUGCGCAUAUACCAAUUUUAAUGAAUUUUAUUUAAAUAGAUUUAACUAUUAAAUUAUUUUUAUAUAAUUUUUAUUUAAUUAAUAAUUAGAUUUAUAAAACUAUAUAAAAAUAUUAAAAAAAUAAAAUUUGUUGUAAAAAUAUUUUUAGAUGCGGGUAUUUCACUAGUUAGAAAAAUAAAACCCAGCGGAUGCCACUAUCGAUGACCACUCACCUGGGUGGAAAUUUCGUUCACGGAGAGGCGGUCUUUUUUAUUUUAUUUUAUUUUAUUACUCAGCUGGGUGGAUAUUUUCCUUCACGAGUCACGACGACGCGGUUUUGUUGGAGCGCUUUUUCAACCUCUAUCCCCAGCUCACUCCAAACAAAUCUCAAACUCUCGUCGUAGUCGUCGUUAUCAUCCGACCGGCGAAUCGAUGGCAGAAGCGGCGGCGAUCAUCUCGGGAUUCAAAUGGUUGGCUCCCGUCGCGACCGAGAUCCUCAAGAAUGGCUACUCCUUCAUCGGGAUGGAUGUGGACGAAAAGCUGCGGGAUCUGCAAAACAUCGUCAUCCCCCAAAUGGAGAUGCUGAUUGAGGCAGCAGAAAAUAGCCCGCAUAAAGAUCACCUCCAUGGUUGGCUGCGGAGCCUCGAGGAAGCAGUUUACGAAGCAGAGGACGUGCUGGAUCUGUACGACUAUUACUUUCUCGAAAAAAAGUGAAGAGUAGUGCAGGAGGAAUCAA